rnacentral:rRNA from 1 species
GACGAACGCUGGCGGCGUGCUUAACACAUGCAAGUCGAACGGAAAGGCCCUGCUUUUGUGGGGUGCUCGAGUGGCGAACGGGUGAGUAACACGUGAGUAACCUGCCCUUGACUUUGGGAUAACUUCAGGAAACUGGGGCUACUACCGGAUAGGAGCUCCUGCUGCAUGGUGGGGGUUGGAAAUUUUCGGCGGUUGGGGAUGGACUCGCGGCUUAUCAGCUUGUUGGUGGGGUAGUGGCUUACCAAGGCUUUGACGGGUAGCCGGCCUGGGAGGGGUACCGGCCACAUUGGGACUGAGAUACGGCCCAGACUCCUACGGGAGGCAGCAGUGGGGAAUAUUGCACAAUGGGCGGAAGCCUGAUGCAGCAACGCCGCGUGCGGGAUGACGGCCUUCGGGUUGUAAACCGCUUUCGCCUGUGACGAAGCGUGAGUGACGGUAAUGGGUAAAGAAGCACCGGCUAACUACGUG